UUUAUAUAUUUUAUAAUAUAAAACUAUCUUUUAUUUUUUACUGAGAAAUGCUAAUUUUCUACAUAUAUUAUAUACAAAAAACCAUAUAUUAAAGAACAUUUAAAAAAUGUUUGCAAUUUUUAAAUAUUUUAAAUUUAUUUUAUGAUAAUAAGACUGAUUCGAUAAUAAGAAAUACGAUGUUUUGCAAAUGCUAUUCAGUUAAUGUCAGUCUCUAAUUAGUGAUAUCUAAACAUAAUCUAUUUUUAAAUAGUUAUUAAAUAAAUUUGAGAUAACAAACAAAAUAAAAAUCAUUUAUCAUUUUAAAUUAUUUAAAAUAUACAUUUAAGUAAAUAUAGAGUUAUUUAUUCUUUUAUUUCAUAAAAAAUCUCUAACGUAGUUAUUUAUAAAUAAAUGGAUGGAUAAAAUAAUAUAUUUACAAUGUUAAUAUUUUGAAGCCUAAUAUUUAUGUUUAGAAAAUAUAAAACGGUGACCGAAAGUCCAGGUACUCAAAAAAUUAUCAUUUUUAUGGAUCCACCUUUUUUUUGUCAAUUUUUAUGGGCCCACCUUUUUUAUUGUCAAUUUUUAUGGACCCACCUUUUUUAUGGACCCACCUUUUAUGGACCCACCUUUUUUUUGUCAAUUUUAUGGACCCACCUAGGUAAAGACUUUUCAUGGCUGGACUAAACUUUGUGGGGGCAGUGUUAACAAUUUUCUUUCCUUUCCCACAUGGCCACAUGUCCAUUGACACAUGCAACGUCUAUGUUGACAUAUCAGGGAAAAUUGCAUUUUAAGUUUUCAAAGUUAUCGUCCAUUAUGGGUAGGCAUAAAUCAAAUGUUUGAAUUUUAGAAGUAUACGGAAUUCGAUCUAGUUCAUUUGAAUAGUCAAUUAUCUAACAAAUUUUCUUCAUAACAAUUUAAAUAUUCUAUGCCCGGAUAUUUAAAAUUUUAAAUAACUUUUAACCGAUAUCCAAUUUUUUUUUUUUUGGUCAAACACCGAUAUCCAAUUUUAAAAAUAAUUUUUUAAAUAUAAAUCUAAAGAUAAUAUAAAAUAAUACUCCCUCUGUUUUUAUUUGUAGGUAGUUUAACAUAAAAGCACGCAGAUUAAGACUUCUUAACUUUCUAAAAAUCAGCAAUGAAAACACACAUUGCUUUAUCUAUAACACAUUUAUUUUGUCUGAAACAUUUAAUUAAAAAAGAGGCUAUUGCUAUUCUUAAGAAGAAUAAAAGGAUAAGAAAAAUUAAAAAAAGUGAACAAGAAUACCAAAAAUCACACAUUUGAGCUUUUAAGAAUUUUACAACAAAAAUCACACAUUUGAACAUUUUCUGUUUUGUUUUCUUUUUGAUUUUUGCUUCUUCUCGUUCCAUUAUUUUCUGAAGAGAAAAAUGGGUUGAAGAAAACAAAUCAAAAGAAACUCUGAUAGAAUAAGAAAACAGUUACGUUAGAUAUGUUAUUUAUAGUGAAUUUAGAAGACACAGUUUUUGGUAAUUAGUAAAUAUUAGUAGUUGCCUACCUAUUAAAUUUAAAAUUUAUUCAUUGUAAGUUGUGUUCAACUUUUUGGAAAAAGUAACCACUAUUUAGUUAAAUGUUUUUUAAUUAUAUUAUUUUAUUCCUUUGGAUUCUGUAACAUCUUAUAAUAUAAAACAAAUCUAUUUUGCUAAAACUACCUACAAAUAAAAACAGAGGGAGUAAUAAUCUAUGAUAAAAAUAAAAGUUAUUUAUUUUUAAAACUCUAAUAACUAAACUAACUAAUUUAAUAAAAAUAUUAUAUAAUAAUUAUAUUUUAUAUAAGAGUUGAGAGUAUUCUCCAAUCAGUUUACAACACCGUGGUUUUAUUGCAGGAUAUAAACGGAAAAUUCUAUUUCAACUCCAACAAUAUCACUCGCUCCAAAUGCGGUUCUAACUAAAAGUCAGUGCUAAAUAUAAUUUCAACUCAGUUAUAAUUUAAAAAAAUAAUUUGAACUUUUUAACGUGUAUAAAUCUACAUUGGAUAUAAUAGAAAUUAGUCAACCAACGAAGUCAUUUUGAAUUUUUUAUUUUAAAUAUGCUUAUUCCAUGAUUCAUACAUGUGCCUUGAUAUCCUUUUAAACAAAUACACUAAUCACUAGAAUAAAGUAAUUUUUUGAAAAUACUAUUACAAAUUUGAAAUUAUAUAUACUAUUGUACUUUUUCAUAGUCUCCAAUUAAAACUUAGGUGAUAAUUGUUUCUGAUUUAUAUAAUAUUAACAUAUUUCCUAAUUAUUAUCUUUAAUAAACUUAAAUUAUAUUAAAAUAUACUCAUAAGAUAUUCAUAAAUUAUUAAAAAAAUAUAUACUUAAAAUUUUGAACUAUUUUUAAAAUUUUCUUAUAUCAAUUAUUUAAAAAUGUAAAACUUGAAUGGUAAUUUUUUCUUUUUCAAAAUUAAUUUAAUUUACUACAUAUUUUAUUUUUUCAUAUAUUUUAGUUAUUGUUUAAUAUGCCUAAUAUUUUGAACAAAAUAUCUUAGUGAAAGAAAUGUAAUAUGCCUAUUAACACAAUAACGUUUUGAAAAAAUAUCAAAAUAUAUAAUAUUAAUUUUUAGAAAUAAAAAAUUGUCAUUUUAAUUUUAAAAAUUAAAUUAAUUCAUAUAAGAAAUUUAUAACUAUUUUCAAAAAUUUAAGUGCAUUUAAAAUUUGAAAAAUAUCAAUAUUUUAUUAUUUAUAUUUGAGUAUAUUAUAAGUUUAUUAAAGAUAUGAUAAUUAAAAACAUGCUAAUGUGUUUAUAUAAAUCAGAAAUGGUCUUUACUAAAGUUUUAAUUGGAGAAGAUAAAGAGUAUAGAAAUAUUUUGAACAAAAAAAAAGAGUAUAGCAAUAUAUAUAAUUUAAAUUUGUAAUUAUAUUUUGAUAUGUUACUUUAGUCUAGUGGUUAGUAUAUCUCUUUUAAAAGGUAUUAUGGCACGGGUUCAAGCUCCAGAAUAAAUAUAUUUUAUUAAUAUUAGAAUAACUUCUGUUAUAAUCAAGUCAAAGACGUUAAUAUGAAAAUCAGAUUCAACAUGAAUCACAGCUCUAAAAAUCCGAGUGCAACAUCUUUUACGGUAACUGAAAGGCCAUCGAUCCUCCAAACAGAUUUUUGGCGAAGACAUAUGUAAAAGAGACUAGGCCUCCGAUAAGCAGGCGAGCCAGACAGAGCCGUGCUUAGAGCUUUUUAAAAAAGGCAUUCGCCUAGGGCCCCCAAAUUUUGUAGAAAUUUUAGGGCCUCAAAUUAUAAAAAAAAAUACUUUUACAUGGUAGUUAACAUAUUCUAUUAAUUACAUUUUUAUUUUUAUUUGAAUUUAAAUUGAACUUCUGUUUAAAGUAACUAGGUUUGUAAUCAUUUUUGCUAUAUUUUAAAUAAAAUUAUAAAGAUUCUACUUCUAAAAAACUGUAAAUAUUUGAUCACAUUGUUCUUUUUUUUAUAUGCUAUGAGUUAGAUUUAUUUUAUAUAUUUAUGAGAAUUUGAUAAAGAAAAUAUAAUAUUUUCAAUAUAUAGUUUAUUAUAGUUAAUUUAAAUGCUAAGAUUUACAUUUUUGACAGCUACCAACAUUUCAAUCAAAAAUUUAUAUCUUUGUAUUUAUAUUACAAAUUCAUACUUUUUGUUCAUGAUUAAAAAUUUUAUUUUAUAAAAUUUUGGUGAAGAAAAUUUAGAAAACGUUUAUGUAAUAACUCAAAACUUUUGAGUGUUAUAUAUAUAUAUAUAUAUAUAUUAUUAAAAAUAUAUCAUGUAAAAUAUAUUUUUGAACUCGCCUCGGGCCUCCGAAAACCUUCGCACGGCACUGGAGCCAGAGCAACGAAAUGAGGCGAGUUUGAAUUUUCUUUUCAGGUGAGAAGUGAGAGAGAACAAGACUGACUACUGUUCAUCUGGUUUGGGCGGCGAGCCGUACAAAUACUUUAAAGAUGUACAUAAUAAUUAAAUUAAAUUAAAUUAAACUAAAAAAAAAACUGUAAACAAUAUAUUAUAUUAGUGCAAAGAUAACACCACAAUAAAUUAAUACAAAAUAUAAAUCAAAGAGACAAUAUAGAUAUAAGCAACCAACUAUGCUUUAUUAAAAAUCGUCUAAACAAUUUCUUACAAAACUUGCUUGUCAGUUUCACACCCUAUUAACACCCUAACAGCUGCUACUGAAAUAUUUUUAAUCUACCCAAACUUGUCUAUUUGUCAUCAUUACUUCAUCAACUGCUUCAGUACGACCCAAGAACACCCCUAAGAGAUUUUCACUAUUCUUCUAUAAUAAUAGCCAGUGUCUCAUGGAAUACACACGAUUCCAUAGCUCUUUUAUAUUGAUUUCCAUGUUUGUGAAACCCUAGCCUCCAUGGAACAUGGAUAUAGACAGCUUUCACAUCAAUAAGUACACUUUUCUUUUCUUGAAAUGCACUUAUUCUUCAAGGCAUAAACUUAUUCCCCAAAUUUACCUUUUGCCUUUUCUCCACGGUAUAAACUUGCUCCUCAAGUUUAUCCCACGCUAGCUCAGCAUCUUGCGUCCACAUGGUCUCUACCACUUCGCAUGCCUCUUGGUUCCUCAGCAACUGUUUCAACGACUACGUCAAGACAUAAACCCUCAGUUUAUCCUUCUCCAUCUCACCAUAUCGUGCAUCCACAUGGUAACCCAUCACUCUUCAUGCCUUAUGUAGUAACGACUAAUGCAUCCAACAUCAAUGACUUCGCCGCCUAAUUAAUCACAGAAGACUAUUGACAUCUACAAGUUCCACUUGCAUCUUCAAUCUCCCCCUUUUAGCUUUGUGUGCCGAUCAAGCACAAUAUCCUUCUGGUUCAACAACCACGUUUCUUAACCUCGAAACUUCCACACUUGAUAUGCCAUUCUCCCCCACGAGAGUUGCACUAUCUUCACCACUCCUUAUCUUGGCUCCUUAGGCUUGAGCUUCUUCCCUUCUGCUGUAAAUAUGGUAGGCUCCUCCCACCUACUCUUCACAGCUAUCCAUGCAGCAUCAUUGACUCCUCAAACCAACAACUUCAUGUGUACCUUCCAAUGACCAUAUCGACCAUCCUUCAACAUGAUUGUCUUCUGCAUAGAACAAUCAUGUACAUCUUCACCUUCAGGAUCACACCAGUAACUUAGGUGACCUGCUCUGAUACCACUUAUUAGUUCAAAGAUGACACCAUAAUAAGGUAAUGCAGAAGAUAAAUCAAAAAUAAAAUAUAGAUACAAGCAACCAACUAUGCUUUAUUAAACAAUCUAUUACAAGACUUACUUAUUAGCUUUACACACCCUGUUAACACCCUAACAACUGCUACUGAAAGAUUUCUAAUCUACCCAAACUUGUCUCUCUGUCGUCAGUACUUCAGCAUGACCAAAGAACACCCCUAAGGGAUUUUAACCCUUCCUCUAUAAUAAUAGCCAGUGUCUCAUGGAAUACACACAACUCCAUAGCUAUUUUAUAGUGAUCUCCACGUUCCUGAAACCCAUAUCAAUAAGUACACUUUCUUUUUCUUGAAAUGCACUUAUUUCUCAAGGCAUAAACUUACUCCCCAAGUUUAUCUCUUGCCUUUUCUUCACGGUAUAAACUUGCUCCUCAAGUUUAUCCCACGCCAGCUCAGCAUCUUGCGUCCACAUGGUCUCUACCACUUUGCAUGCCUCCUGGUUCACUCUCUGACACACACUGCCUCAGCAACUACUUCAACGACUACGUCAAGACAUAAACCCUCAGUUUAUCUUUUUUCAUCUCAGCAUAUCGUGCAUCCACAUGGUAAUCCACUACUCUGCAUGCCUUAUGUAGUAACAAUUAAUGCAUCCAACAUCAGUGACUUCGUCGCUUAGUUAGUCAUGAAAGACUAUUGACAUCUACAAGCUCCACUUGCAUCUUAUAUUAUAGGGAAAUCUUUCAAAUAAAUCUAAAAAUGUUUUAUGACCAAAAACAUACAAAGAGAAAAAUGACAAAAGUAAGUUUCAUUAAAGAGAUAAAAAAACAUUUGUGUCUCUACUAUAUAUAUAUAGAAAUCAAUAUUAAAUAAUAAAAAUAGAUUUUUAUUUUGAAAAAAAUAAAACUUUUUUUUUUAAAUGUUUCUGAUAUUUCUUUCAAAAUUCAUUUUAGGCUUUUUCAAAACUCUUAUUUUUCCAAAAAUAUAUUUAAAAUUAUUACAUUAAUUUUAUACCUUAAAUUUUAAAUUCUAAACCAUAAUCUCCAAACCCUAAAGCCACCUCCUUCAAAUCUAAACCAAAUACAGAUUAGUUAACCUAAGAUAAAAAUAUAUCUUGCCUUCUCUCGUGACAACGACUUUUAUAUUUUCUGAUUAACAACUUGUAAUAUAGAAAAUAUUAUAGGAUAUCAAUACAUUUAGUUUUUUUUUUUUGAAAAUAUAAAGUUUUAACUAAUACAUCAUUUUUAAUUAAUCACAUAAGCAUUGUAAAGAUAUAAGGUGUUGACAACUCAUCAAGAUUAAAUUGUAAUUAAUACCAAAUAGAAGGUUAUAUAUUUUAAAAUGAUUCUCAAAUAAUAUAUAGUGAGUUAGGUGAUUCUUCUAUGCUCACACACACAUAUAAACAUUUAAAAAUAAUAAAAUUAUAAUUAGUUAAUUUUUCAUUUUCACUUUUUGAUAAUUUCUGAAUAGUUUCAUAAUCUAUAUGUAUAAAAAGUAAAAAUAAACAUUGUGUUAAAUUAUUAUGUUGGCGUCGCAGUUAAAUAUGUAAUUAUAUGUAUAACCAUUCAAAUCAGUUCAAUUUUUUUGGUAUAUUGGGUUGUAUCUAUUUUCAACUGAAAUGUUGUUUAUUUUGGUUUUAAAUAUUUUAAUAUUUUAAUUAUAUUUAGUUCUGUUCAUCAUGAUGUUUAUAAAUAUAUUAACAAUCUAAUAAUAUAUGUUGUUUUGGAAAGAUUUAAAAAAAAAAAAAACUAACUGUUAAUGUAAUUAGAGUUGCAUUAACCAAUAUAAUUAGUGGUAUUCUAAAACCACAUGCAUAUUUAAAUAUUCAUAAAAUAACUUAAUGGUAAUCUAACAAUAUUAAAAGGAAUAUAUGCUCAACAGAGAAGCAUGCCACGUCGACAAAUUAAUUCAGACCAAUCAAAUUGUUUUAAUGUGCCAUGUCACUUAAACAAAAAAAAAAAUCUAACCGAAGAAUGGCUUCCUUCCUCUCUUUUCGUUGUCUUUCCAGUUUUUCUCCAUCCCACUUCUUAGCUGUUCCAAGUUUUUAUUCCAUUAACUUCAUCCAUUAUUGCCUUCUUCAAAACAGAAAUCAUAGAUUUUUCUUCGACUUCCCGUUUUCCCUCUAUAAAACAGAUGCAAAAUGAAAUAAUAUCUAAGAAACUAUGCGUACCACCGAGAAUUACAGCAAAACAAACAGGCACAUCAGCUGAUGACAAUGAAAUUGGAGUUGAGAUCGCCAUGAGGGUGAUUAGAUUCGCCAAGGGCUAGGUCCGUUCUCCUUUCUGAGCUUUCUCACACACCCUCUUUCCUAGCUUUUACAUCUGUCUUGAUUCCGAUUUGACACCAAAAUUUCGAUAUCUACGAGGAGAGUGCGUAAAGUUUAAAACUUUAUGCAAUUCUAGAUUCGUUAAUGUAGUAAACAAUGAUGAGAUCUGCGUGUUGGUGAUUCUAAAUAGAUAUUCUCGAGGGCCGAGUUCGAUUAGGGUAAAGUAGCUAACUUUUCAAAUUUGUCUUUGAUUCAACUUUGUCUUUGAUUCGAGUCUUCAACAUUGAAAGAGGAACACUUUUACUAUAGUUGUAGUCUGCAUUGCUGGUGUCUAUUCGUUUAACUAAGACUCUGGAUCUGAUCAUUUUUCUGUUUUGAUUCACAGUUUCCCCUUUUGAACUCUUCCCAAAAUUGCAACGGGACAACUGUUCUCUCGGACCAUACAAGCUUUGUUCUACAACUAUAAUCAGCUUCCUGUUCAACGAAUGCUUGACUUUGACUUCCUAUGUGGUAAACAUUUAACAAACUACACUGUCCUAUGUUGGUUUCGUUUUGAUCAGUUUUAGAUUUUGACUUCAAAGCUUUAUACAUGACGUUAAACGCCUUCUCUUGCUGGAAUAAUUGUUUAAAGCAUCAAACUUGAAGGUUGGAUUUUGUGGUUACCAUUCCUAGCUUUCUUAAGCUUCACGCAGCAGUGUAGAGGAGAUUCAGAGCCGUAAGAACUGCUAGACAGACUGUGCGAGAGCUGUUCUUGCUGUUGGUGCAGCUUCAAGAUCUGAAGCACUGAAGGAAGAAGUAUUAGCAACGAGCCUUCUCGAACUGAAUGGCUUCUUCACCACUUACUUUCCUUCAGAGGCCACUAGAUCUAUUGUAUUUUUUUUGUAGCAACGAGAAUCUAUAUCCUAUAAAUAAAGAUGACGAACUCCCCAAAUCUCUCCGCUUCAUCCAAUCCAUUCUUAUCUCUUCCUUUCAAAUCUUGGAACUUUGAGGACAUGUGGAGAUUCCCUCUUACGUGGAGUUUAUGCAACCAAAUUGCAGUAACAUUGCAUCCUCAUCUUAACUGCAGAAGAUUUGACCGAACUAUCUUCAACCUCCCUCAUUCCGGCUUCCUAGGCAAAGAUAAUGAUUCAGGUCUUACAAAGUAAGUGAGCAUUACUGGUGCUGUUGCUCUUCUCGCAUAUGAUUUUUGUACACUAGAAAAAUUAAGUUUCUGCAGUGUAUUUAAAACUAAAUAAGCUCAAACGAAUGUCUUGCAUUAUUUUUUUCUUUACACUAUCACUUAAAAACACAUUUAGAUUGGGGAAAUUUUUUUUUUUUAUGAAAUUUCAAAUUUAUUCAUCCUUCAUGGGAAAAUCAUUUACAAAAGAUUGGGAAAAUUUUUCAAACGACUGAAGUUAUAAGUUUACUGAUUUCAAAGAAUUAUACGGAGUUGCAUUUAUCAAAAGAUAACAAUAUGUAAUAUACAUAGUACAAAUCCAAAUGAUCUAAAAGUUUCAAGGGGUUGACAGUUACCCAAUAACAACUUCCCAUUGUGGACAAAUGGAUACAGCAUCAGAAGAUAUGGAAUAUAUGAAAUAGAAUUUUUCAGACCAUACAUUCAAAUGUUGAUUUAAAAAAAAAUGAAACCAAAAUCUGCAAAAUAUAUUAUGUAAAAACCUAAGUCAUAAUGUGAAAGUGAACUUACCACUAAUCAUGAAAUAAAAACAUAAAAUACAAAUAUAUUUGAAUUAAGCGAGACACAAAUAAAAAAAUAGAAUGAGAAUUAACAUGUCACUAUACUAAACAUCAAUAGUAAGGUCUACAGUCCCCAAAAUCUUGUGUACUCUCAAAACCUUACAACUUUGUUUAUAAUCGUCGGUCUACUAAUUUGACAUCCAAUCAAUGAAUUGGUCUGACCGCACAUUGCCUUACUCCUACUAGCUUCCAGCGAUCUAACAUUGUUGAAGUCGUAACGGUAAACUUAAAUUACAUUAAUUUUGUAAAUUUGGCUUCGUAACGCAAUCCUCAUUUAGUUGAUGUUACUGAUAUUCUCUUUAACAUUCUAAAAACCAAUCUUUCUACUAUGAAAAAAAAAUUAAACUAACUGAUUAUUAUAAUAAUUAAAAAACAUACAUUACUUUUAGUUUAACUUUUCAAUGGAUAAAUGUCAACCGUAGUAGAUGAUUAUGAUUUGUUUGUAUUAACAACAUGAACACAUCACUAUGGAAAUGAAAUAACUAAAAAAAUCAUUGUGAAAAAUGUUUAUAACAAUAAAUUUAUUACAAAUCACACCAAUACAAAUGCAAAAUUAAAACACUAUAUUUUACACCAAAUGCUAAAAUAUUUUACAAAAAAUAAUUAGUAAAACACUAAAAAUUAAAGAAAUUCAUUAUAAAUGGAAAAUCUAAUAUAAACUGAGACACACAUAUAUUCUACACCACGUUUUUUGUUAUAUAAUAUAUACUAAUUAUUAAUUAUGACAUUACUGAAUCUAUUUCUAUAUUACUUUAAAAUAUAAAAUUUUAUAAUUGUAUCACAUUACAUUUGUUUUUCAAAUGAUUUAGUUUGGAAGUGGGUAUAUUAAUUUAUUAUCGUGAAAAAUAGUUAUUAUAAUAAUAUUAAAAUCUGAUAUUUUUAGAAUAAAAAAUAGUAGUUAUUCUUAUUUUAGAUUUUUUAAACUAUAUUAAAUUGAAAUAGAAAUCAAAUAUUAAAAUAUUAAUUUUUAAUUUAAUAAUUUUGUGUUUUCUAUUAAAAAUAUUGUUAGUAGUUUUUUCAACUUAAACCAACAAAAUUUAAUUAAAUUUAUAAUAUAAUUUUAGAAUAAAAUAGAUUAUAUUUAUUAAUUUCAGUAUAAAGUAAAAUUUUAAAUAUUUUAUAAAACUAAAAUAUAAUUUAGUAUAAAAUAGUUUCAGUGUAAACCCACCCGCCCGUAGGGCGGGCCAACCUCUAGUCAUUAAUUAAUGUUUCGCUUACGUUUGUUUAGAAAACUCAAAAUGGUUUAUCUAUGUUUGAAAAUAAAAUAGAAACUUUUUUAAAUUAUAUUGUUGUUGUAGUUUGACAUGUAAUUUUCGAUAUAAGAUUUCUGACCAGUUUGAUUAUUAAGUUUUAAGCAUAUUAAACUAUUGUUUUCGUAGUUCUAGUUAGGUUAAAAUGUUAAAUUUAGUCUUUUUAUUUAGUUUGGUUCUUCUUACAUUUGUAAGUAUAUCUUUUAAAAUCUAUAUAAUUUGAUAUUUUUAUUUUUAGACUAAAAUUAGAAUAGAAAAUAUGAAGGAUUUUUAAAAAUUAUUGAUUCACCCAGUUUAAAUUAAACAAAUAUCAACUUUUAUUUAAAAAUAAAAUAGUAAAUAUUUUUAAUCAGAAAAUAUUAGGUAAAAUAUCCAUAGUUAUUAAAAUUAAAUUUAUAUAAAAUAAAUAAUAUAUUUGUUUUUAUAUAUUAUUAUUUUCAAAUCUAAUAAUUUAUACGUCACACUAAUUCUUAUUAAUAAAGUAUACAUAUAUUCCUAAAUUUUUGUUUUGGAGAAAAAAUCCCAAAUAGCUUUACAGAAAUUUAUAGAUAUUUUUAUUUUUUAUAAUUGAAAAAUAAAAUAAAAAUUAUUAACAAAUUAAUUAAAAUACAAAUAUUGAUAGUUACAUAUAAAUUUAAUUUAUUAAGAGUAUCAAUUUAAUUGACUAUAAUGAGUGCAACACGUAAGAAACUGACUUAUCAAAUAAUAUUAUAGAAAUAAAGAUAUUUGAAUUCCAUAACAAUCAUACCCUAAAUUAUUUGGAACUGAAACUGACUUAUCAAAUAAUAUUAUAGAAAUAGAGAUAUUUGAAUUCCAUAACAAUCAUACCCUGAAUUAUUUGGAACUGAAUCAUAUCUGAAAUAAAUUGAUUUGGAUUAAAAUAAAAUUUCAAAUAAAUAAACGUGAUAUUAACUGUUCAUUUUUGUUUGUUUAAUAACACCACCACCUUAAUUGGAAAAAUAUACAGAAGUAUAAAACAUAGGACCCUCUAAGACAUGUUUUAAAUUUCAAAUCUGUAACAUUAUACAGUUAUUCUCCGUUAUGUCUUACGUAAAAAAUGACUGUGAAACUUUUUAUUAUACUAUUGAUCAAAUAGAGAACAUUACAAAUUGUUUUAUUUAAUAAUUUAUAAUUAUUUAGUAAUUUAUGAUUAAAUUCGUGCUUUUAGUUAUCACUUAUGGUGGUGAAAUCUUUUAUUAAUCAAUUUUAUAGAGAGAGAAUACCUCUCUGCCUUUUCACUCUUUCCUAUCUUUCAGAGGAAAAAGGAUCGUGUUUUUUUUGCUGUGUCUUUCGAUCGUAUAGCUUCUCCAAAAAGAUUUUCUAUUUUAAAGUUUUUGAAAUAUUUUAUUUGAAAUUUUCAAAUGUUUUUCUCCAAAAACAAAACUUCAAAUCCAACUUCAAAAUUAUUUGUAUCUUACACUAUAAUUUUUAUAUUUAUCAUAAUUAAUAUAAAUUCAUAAUUCUUUUAAUAAAUAACUAGCACAUAUAUAAGACUAUUACAGCAAUAUUAACUAAUACAAUUUAAACUAAAAUAUAAAAUUUUAAAUAGAAAUACAUAAUUAAAUAUUAAAUCAAAAACAAAAUACCACAUUAUUUCAUAAAUUAUUUUUAAUGCUCCAUUUUUGGUUGCAGAAAAUCUUUUUGAACAAUUAUUAGGUUCCACAGAAAAUUUACAAGAGUAUUUAUUUUAUUGUGAUAUUUAAAUUUGUGUAAUAACUAUAUUUUCAUAUAUUUUUAAAUUUUUUUUAUUAAGUUUUUUUUUUGUAAUAUUUUUGUUGUUUAAUUCUAGUUUUAAAAUUUUUAUUUAUGUUUAUGUGUAAAAUUUGAAUUAAAAAAAAACAAAUUUGAAAUAUUUAUGAGAUAUGAAAAAUUUAAAAAUUAAAACAAUAAGUGAAAAUAGUUAAAAAUCAUAAAUAUGAUGAAAGUUAUCUGGAAGAUAUCACGCUGUUACGAAGAAGUUUUCUCAACUCAGACAUCGUUCAUGUACCUCGGACGAGAUCUUACGGGCGGAUAGCUUAGCACGCAGUGGUAGAAAACAACCGUCUUUCGUCGUUCACAUGGAUGCAGAGUUAAUAUGAAUCUGUGAAUAUCUUGUUGUCAGAAAAAAAGAUGUAUAAUUAAUUGUAAGAAUCAAAAUGCAAAUAAAAAAAAAUGAAAUUUCAUAUUUGAAAUUUUGAGUGGUAAAAUUUUAAACCCAAAUUUAAUGUUUUGAAAUUCAUUUUUGGAGAGUAAAAAAUUGUAUAUUUGAAGUUAUAGAGUUUCUUUUAAAGAUGCUCUUAGGAUCGAGUCUUUCGUUCGCCAUGUCGGGCUAUGUCGGAUUUGGUCUUAGCUGUGGCAAUUUUAUAGUGAAUUUCAAUCUCCAACGAAUCAAAUCUUCAUGUUCUACUUUCUUUAGUUUGGGAUUGAGCUUGUCUUGUGGGAAUGCUGUUAAAAGGUGAGGUCAUGGGUUCGAGGCUCACCAACAACCUAAUUAUGAAGUUAGAAAGAACUCGGGUUGUCAUAUAAAAAGUCGACUUUUUUUGGAAUGGAUUCAGAAGAGUCGGCAUUAUUAUAAGGGUCCGACAAAGGAUCUAGUUCCGGCUUGACUUAAACUUCCUCUGUUAUAAACUCCGGUGGAACAGGGCCUCUCCGCUUAAGUGGUCACGGCUAAAAUGAAAGGUGGUUCGAGGGAAAAGCUUUGCCGGUGGGUUACUUCUUCACAGGGGCGGAUGCAUAGAAACUUACGGGGACACGUGUCCCCAUCUCUUUUUUAUUUUACUUCACUAAUUUGCAUUAAAGGGCCGUUCGUUUUAACAUCUUUCAUCUCCAUCCAGAUGAUCCAUUAAGAUUUUUGUGAUAGUUUGUUUGUUCAUCCAAAUAGUUCAUCUAGAUGAAUCAUCUAAAUAUAUCUUAUGUUUUUUUCUUUAUUUUUAUUUUCAUGCUAAUGAGUUUAGUAAACAAAUUACCAGAAUACCUUUUGUGUUUAUUUAAUCAUAUGUUAAAAUUUCACUACAAUAUUAACUUCUAAUAAACAAAAAAAAUUGAUAAACAUGUAUUUGAAAAAAAAAAUUUAGAGUUUCAAACUAGAAAGAGUAUUAAUAAUAAACUCACUAUAACUUCGGUUUUGGCGAAAAACGAGAUUUUUCGGUUUUGACGGGAAAACGAGAUUUUUUUUAUUUUGACAGGAAAACGAGAUUUUUCGAUAUUGACACGAAAAUACAACUUUUGGUUUUGGCGAGAAAAUGCGUUUUUAGCGGGAAAAUACGUUUUUGGCAGAAAACAUAUUUUUUUUUGCAGUUUUGACAGGAAAAUACAAUUUUUGGUUUUGGCGAGAAAAAACGUUUUUGCGCUUUUGGGCAGAAAAAUAUGUUUUUGGCAGGAAAAUACGCUUUUGGCGAGAAUACGUUUUCGCGGAAAAAAUGCGUUUUGGCAGGAAAAUAUGUUUUUUUUAUGGUUUUCACGAGAAAUCGCGUUUAACAGUUUUGGCGGAUAAUGCAUUUUGAUGAGAAAAUGCAUUUUUCGGUUUUGACGGAAAAACACGUUCUGGCAGGAAAACACGUUGUCGCAAAAAAAAAAACAGGAAAACACGUUUAUGGUUUAAGCGGGAAUAAUAGACAUUAUACCAUAUUGAUUGAAUCAUCUCCAUCCAAAUUAGUUCAGUUGAAUAGACUUUAAAAUUAAAGUCUAAAUUUUCAAAAGUCAUCCAAAUUAAUGUCUAAACGAACAAAACUUUCAUCUCUAUCCAAAUGGUUGAUCCAUAUGGAGAAACGAACAAGUCCUAAAUUGUAUAAUGUACAAAUUCAAAAAUUAAACAUGAUAAAAAAAAAUAGCAUAUGCCUCUGUCUCAAUACUGUUCUACGUCCGCCCCUGCUUCUUCAUUGCCGGAGAAGAGGAAACGUGUGUCUUGCCCAAAAUACAGUUGAAAGCCACGUAGCAAAGAAGGGAUGAAUGCCUCACAUGUGUUUGUCUGAACUGAUUUUCUGUAUCUUUAGUUGGUUUACGUGUUGGGUUUGUAUGCUUAAAUUUGUCUCUCUUUUUUUUAUUACACUUCAUCUUAUUAAUUAAACCGAAAGAACAUAAUCGUUGCGAAAUACAUCAGCAAUAAACAUUGGUACAUAAUUAUGGAAUAAGAACGACUUAGAAUCUUGUAUUCUUUCUUUCGCCAGCUUAUCUGCAACUCGAUUUGAUGUACGAUUAAUCCAUCGAAAUUGUACUUCUUCCAAACGAGCCUGCCACCAUAAAAUUUCCCGUUUCCAGUUAUACAUAUCAAAGUGCAGCUUCCUAUUAUUUAAUAUCUCAAGUUCUCAACAGCCUUUUCACAAUCACUUUCGACAAUGACUUUCUUGUGACCGCUGCUCCAAACAUGUUGUAAAGCCAUUAGUAUAGCCUGCUGCUAUUCGCAUUCCAACGCAUUCUUCACUUGUUUUCUAGUAGCUUGAACAGCACCUUUGUAAACACCCCAGUUGUCUCGAAUGACCCACCCGACUUGUCCUGGAAUUGCAUCAUUUAAAAAAGACUCAUCCACAUUAUAUUUGAGCCACUCAACAGGGGGUCUACUCCAUGGUUUUUGCCUCAAAUUAUUGACAUUUCUGUGGGAAACAUUUUGCUGAACAACUAUGUUCCUAGUAUCAUUCCACCAUUCUUUUGCAUCAUCAUAAGCCUGUUGAAAGUUGAUCUCCAAUGAAUUCCUUUGUUCUGAAAAAUGAGCAUGUUUCGACUUUUCCAAAUCCUUCAUAGUAUCUAGAUUGGUAAGUCAUGUAGAUGUUGGAGCCGAGAAGAAUUACUACACCUGAUACAUUCCUCUAUCUUCUCUUCUAUUAUUAGCUCAAAAGGCUUAAUGAAUCAAAAGUUGACAAAAGAAAUAUAUUUUAAUUUAUAUUUUACUAUGUUAAGAUUAUAUUAGGUGGCCGGUCCGUACCCUGUGCGGACAUAAAAAAUAUAGAUAAAGAUGAUAACAUAAAAAAAAAAAAAUCCUAGAGAAGAGAUUUUUCUCCAACGCUUUUAUUUUAUCAAAUCCCAAAUCUUUCAAUGUUUUGUUUUUGUUGUAAUAUAUGUUCGAUCUUUGAUCGAUUCCACUUUGGUUGCCGAAUUUUGUUUUUUUCGCUUUGGAGACUUUUGUUUUGUUCUCAAUCUUAACGAAGCGGUUCUUCUAUCUUUGAUUGAGACUGCAAUAACCUGUCAUUCAUCUGACCCUAAUCCAGUAGUCCAAUGAGCAGAUACUUUCUUUUGCCGCUCACCUUAAUUCCUGUCUAGGAGAAUAAAUUAUUUAUUUGCUAGUUUAACCUAUUUAAGUGUAAGAAAAGCAUUUCUGAUGGGAGUCGAUUAGGUUUGAUAGAUUUUCUGAAGUUGUUUUGGAGUGGAUCAAGAAGAGUUGGCAUUUUUAAACGGUCCAACAUAAGGUAUAUCUUCAAUCCGGCUCAAGUUUCCUCUGUUCUAAAUCUCCGGCAAAAUAAGGUCUCUCUGGUCAAGUGGUCAACGGCUGAGAUGGAAGGAAAUUCCAAAGAGUACAAGGCUUGGUUAAGAAAUAGGAUCCAAUACUGGAUAGAGAAGAGGUGAUUAAUUCAUGGCGGAUCUCGGCCGAGCAUCCUUCCGAUGGCAAAAGAUAGUGGUGAAGACUUUUGAUUCGCAGGGACGGACUGUAGACGAGUAGAGCUGACUCUUCUUUUCUAUGGUUAUUUUUUAAGGUAUGAUUAAUUGUGCUAUUACAAUGUGUAAUAUAUGAUUUACCGCUAAGCAAUAAUUAUACCAUUUUAUGAGAAUACAUGUUUGACUGUAUCAUUCUGAGCGGUUCUAUAAGAUCUGUGUUUCAUAGUA